rnacentral:rRNA from 1 species
GCCGAUCUCGAAAACCUGUCCCAGUUCGGACUGGAGUCUGCAACCCGACUCCACGAAGUUGGAUUCGCUAGUAAUCGCGCAUCAGCCAUGGCGCGGUGAAUACGUUCCCGGGCCUUGUACACACCGCCCGUCAAGCCAUGGGAGCCGGGGGCGCCUGAAGUCCGGGACCGCGAGGACCGGCCUAAGGCGAAACUGGUGACUGGGGCUAAGUCGUAACAAGGUACC